UACGUAGGUGGCGAGCGUUGUCCGGAUUUACUGGGCGUAAAGGGAGCGUAGGCGGACUUUUAAGUGAGAUGUGAAAUACUCGGGCUCAACUUGAGUGCUGCAUUUCAAACUGGAAGUCUAGAGUGCAGGAGAGGAGAAUGGAAUUCCAUGUGUAGCGGUAAAAUGCAUAGAUAUCACGCAGAACUCCGAUUGCGAAGGCAGCGUACCGGCGCCCAACUGACGCUGAAGCACGAAGGCGUGGGUAUCGAACAGG
rnacentral:rRNA from 1 species